GAUCCUGGCUCAGGAUGAACGCUGGCGGCGUGCUUAACACAUGCAAGUCGAACGAAGCACUUUAUUUGAUUUCCUUCGGGACUGAUUAUUUUGUUGACUGAGUGGCGGACGGGUGAGUAACGCGUGGGUAACCGUGCCUUGUACAGGGGGAGUAACAGUUGGAAACGGCUGCUAAUACCGCAUAAGCGCACAGCAUCGCAUGAUGCAGUGUGAAAAACUCCGGUGGUAUAANAUGGACCCG
rnacentral:rRNA from 1 species